GUCCCUGCCCUUUGUACACACCGCCCGUCGCUACUACCGAUUGAACGUUUUAGUGAGGUAUUUGGACUGGGCCUUGGGAGGAUUCGUCCUCCCAUGUUGCUCGGGAAGACUCCCAAACUUGAGCGUUUAGAGGAAGUAAAAGUCGUAACAAGUUUUCCGUAGGUGAACCUGCGGAAGGAUCAUUA
rnacentral:rRNA from 1 species